rnacentral:rRNA from 1 species
GGAAGGGAGGGGGAAGCGGCUGGGGGAAGGCGGAGGGGGGAGUCGUGGGCUGGAAUUGUUGGGCGUAUAGAGCUCGUGGGCGGUUUGUGGGGUCUGUGGUGAAAGACCAGGGCUUAACCGUGGGUCGGCGGUUGAGACGGGCAGACUAGAGGCAGGUAGGGGAGAACGGAAUUCCCGGUGUAGCGGUGAAAUGCGCAGAUAUCGGGAGGAACACCGGUGGCGAAGGCGGUUCUCUGGGCCUGUACUGACGCUGAGGAGCGAAAGCGUGGGGAGCGAACAGGAUUAGAUACCCGUGUAGUC